rnacentral:rRNA from 1 species
UACGGAGGGGGCAAGCGUUGUUCGGAAUUACUGGGCGUAAAGGGCCUGUAGGCGGCCCACUAAGUCGGAUGUGAAAUCCCCAGGCUUAACUUGGGAACUGCAUCCGAUACUGGAUGGCUUGAAUUCGGGAGAGGGAUGCAGAAUUCCAGGUGUAGCGGUGAAAUGCGUAGAUAUCUGGAGGAACACCGGUGGCGAAGGCGGGUCUCUGGGCCGAUACUGACGCUGAGGAGCGAAAGCGUGGGGAGCAAACAGG